rnacentral:rRNA from 1 species
UACGUAGGGCGCAAGCGUUGUCCGGAAUUAUUGGGCGUAAAGAGCUCGUGAGCGGUUUGUCGCGUCUGCUGUGAAAACUCGAGGCUCAACCUCGGGCUUGCAGUGGGUACGGGCAGACUAGAGUGGCGGUAGGGGAGACUGGAAUUCCUGGUGUAGCGGUGGAAUGCGCAGAUAUCAGGAGGAACACCGAUGGCGAAGGCAGGUCUCUGGGCCGCAACUGACGC